AUGAUUCCGGCGGCCGCGCACAUGGUGUCACUACUGCUGCUGCUGGUGGCCGUACGAGGCACAGGGCCGCCGGCGAGCUGCCCGACCAGCUGUGGCGGCGUGAGCGUGCCAUACCCGUUCGGCGUCGGCGACGGCUGCUACUGGCCGGGAUUCAACCUCACCUGUCACUGGGCGCGAGGCCGAGAGCGGUUGCUCAUCGGCGGCGCGCGGUACCCUCGAGGUUGUGGAGAUCUCGCUGGCCAACUCCACGGUACGCGUCAUGGACACCGCGGGCGCCGUGAACAUCACCUUACAUAGUGUGGCAGGCGGCCACGGUACGUGGGGCAGCCUGGGCGCCGGCGCCAGCGGCGGCCCCUACGUGGUGUCGGAGAGGCACAGCGUGCUCGUCGUCACGGGGUGCAACGUGCAGGCCACGCUGGUGGGCGACCUGGUCGGCAACGUCAUCACCGGCUGCUCCUCAUUCUGCUCCAUCUACGACACGUGGAGCAGCGCCGUCACGAAGUACGACGGCGAAGCGUGCUCCGGCAUCGGCUGCUGCGAGACUCCCAUCCCCAUCGGCUGGCCCUCCUACGGCGUUCGGUUCACGUGGCAGGACCCGAACCACGAGUCCGACAGCAAGCUGCCCGUCGCGGUGCGCGUCGCAGAGCGAGGAUGGCUCGACAGCGCAUCCACCAUGCUCCUCAACUACUCCUCCGGCGAUUCGUCGUGCCGGAUGCCGAUCCCCGUCGUUCUCGGGUUUGCGCUGGAUUCGAAGCCGGUGGUGCUUCAGGGAGUGGCGACGUCUGGCUGUCCUAAGGAUGUUUCUCGUAGCGCAUGCCGCAGCAGCCUCGGGUCCUGCCGCAACGUCACCGGCCACUAUCGCAGCGGAUACGUGUGCCACUGCCAUGACGGGUAUCAGGGCAACCCUUACAUUGUGGGUGGAUGCCAAGACAUCGACGGGUGCGCGCUGCCGGUCUCGUGCUACGGCGAGUGCACCAACACUGACGGAGGGUACCUCUGCCGGUGCCCGAGCGGCGCCCGUGGCGACCCCCGGAUCAAAGAUGGCUGCGUCAAAUCUUCCCUAGGUUUAAGCGUUGGCAUAGGAAUUAGCAGUGGCGCUGGCUUUCUACUCAUGGUACUUGCUACAAUUUUUGUGGCCCAGAAGCUGAAGCAUAGGAGGGCAAAAUUGUUGAGGCCGAAAUUCUUUAGGAAAAACAGGGGAUACCUUCUACAGCAAUUGGUGUCACAAAAGGCGGACAUCUCGGAGAGGAUGAUCGUCCCCUUGAUGGAGAUGGAAAAGGCCACAAACAAUUUCGACAAAGCUCGCGAGAUUGGCGGAGGAGCGCACGGCAUCGUGUACAAAGGAAUCAUGUCAGACUUGCACGUGGUGGCGAUCAAGAAGUCCAAAGUCACGGUCCAGAGAGAGAUCGAUGAGUUCGUCAACGAGGUAGCCAUCCUCUCACAGAUCAACCAUCGAAACAUCGUGAAGCUCUUCGGGUGCUGCCUCGAGAUGGAGGUACCGUUGCUGGUGUAUGAAUUCAUUUCAAAUGGGACUCUUCACCAUCAUCUUCACGUGGAACACACCGAAACAUUGUUGGCAUGGGUGGAUCGAUUGAGGAUAGCCACAGAGACCGCGAGAGCUCUUGCAUACCUUCACUCAGCCGUGUCAAUCCCUGUAGUCCACAGGGAUAUCAAAUCUCAGAACAUUCUAUUAGAUGGCACUCUCGUAGCAAAGGUGUCCGAUUUUGGAGCUUCAAGGUGCAUGCCAGUCGGUCAAACAGGGGAUGCAACUGUCAUCCAAGGGACAUUUGGGUACCUAUACCCCAUGUACUACUACUCGGGAAAGCUCACCGAGAAGAGUGACGUUUAUAGCUUUGGGGUUCUCCUCAUGGACCUGCUAACCAGGGAGAAACCAUGCUCAUAUCGAUCGUUCGAGGAAAAAAGCCUAGCCAUAUAUUUCACCACUUUGCUCACAACAAGCAACCUAGUCUGUGUGUUAGAUCCUCAAGUUGUGGUGGAAGGGGGCAAGGAUAUUGAAGCGAUAGCUAUGUUGGCCGCGGCAUGUGUGAGGAUGGAAGGAGACCACCGGCCGACCAUGAGGAAAGUGGAGAUGACACUCGAGAGCCUUCAACUACACCAUGAAAAUGCCGUAAUAUGUGAUAUGGAUGCACCAAGCUAUGCAGUAGUGACUGAGGGUACAAGCAUGGAGAAGGUGAGCAGACAAUAUAGUUUGGAAGAAGAGUAUUUGUUGUCAUCAAGAUACCCUAGAUAG
rnacentral:rRNA from 1 species